ensembl:miRNA MIR4481 microRNA 4481
GGAGUGGGCUGGUGGUUUUUUAAGAGGAAGGGAGACCUAAGCUAGCACAUGAGCACGCUC